rnacentral:rRNA from 1 species
GGUCAAGCUUAGAAAGGGUCCGCGGUGGAUGCCUUGGGGCCAAGGGCCGAAGAAGGGCGUGGCAAGACUACGAAAAGCCUCGGUGAGCUGUCUAGCGAGCAUAGCCGGGGAUACCCCAAUGGGCGAACCUCUUCUGGUAAAACCGGAAGAUCCCGAUAACAUCGGGAAGGUAAGUGGAGGAACUGAAACAUCUAAGUACUCCGAGGAAAAGAAAUCAACCGAGAUUCCCUGAGUAGUGGCGAACGAAACGGGAAAGGCCCAAACUCUAGGGGCUAAGUGGGCUGGGGCCCUAUGUCCCUGGAGGGUUGUAAGACGCAUCGGUUCCGAUCCCAGUAGGAGCAAGGAGUAAGAAACCUUUUGUCAGGCGAAGGGUCCUGGAAGGGCCAACCGUAGAGGGUGAGAGUCCCGUAGAUGAAAGACAAAAGGCUCCUGGUGCGAUCUUGAGUACCACGGGACACGAGGAAUCCUGUGGGAAGCAGGGGGGACCACCCUCCAAGGCUAAAUACCCUUGGCGACCG